UACAGAGGUCUCAAGCGUUGUUCGGAUUCAUUGGGCGUAAAGGGUGCGUAGGCGGCGCGGUAAGUCGGGUGUGAAAUCUCGGAGCCUAACUCCGAAACUGCAUUCGAUACUGCCGUGCUUGAGGACUGGAGAGGAGACUGGAAUUUACGGUGUAGCGGUGAAAUGCGUAGAUAUCGUAAGGAAGACCAGUGGCGAAGGCGGGUCUCUGGACAGUUCCUGACACUGAGGCACGAAGGCCAGGGGAGCAAACGGG
rnacentral:rRNA from 1 species